rnacentral:rRNA from 1 species
UAUGUGAUCGUCUCUCGCAUAUCAAUAAGCGGAGGAAAAGAAACUAACAAGGAUUCCCCUAGUAACGGCGAGUGAAGCGGGAAGAGCUCAAAUUUGAAAUCUUAAAGGGUUUCCCUUUACGAAUUGUAGUUUAAAGAAGUGUUUUCUGUUGAGGUUUUGGUAAAAGUUCUUUGGAAUAGGACAUCAUAGAGGGUGAGAAUCCCGUAUUUGACCUUUACUUUCAACUUUGUGAUACACUUUCAAAGAGUCGGAUUGUUUGGGAAUGCAGUCCAAAAUGGGUGGUAAAUUUCAUCUAAAGCUAAAUAUUGGCGAGAGACCGAUAGCGAACAAGUACCGUGAGGGAAAGAUGAAAAGAACUUUGAAAAGAGAGUUAAACAGUACGUGAAAUUGUCAAAAGGGAAGCGUUUGACACCAGUGUUGUUUUUCUGAAAAUCAAUUAAAGAACUGUUUAUGCUAAGUUGUUUAGACUUUAUCAGCUAUCUGCUUAGUUUUGAGCUUUUCUUUAAUGCACUUUUCAGCUAACAAGUCAACAUCAAUUUCUUUUGCUGUAAAAAAGCUUGAGGAAGGUGGCUUGAGAUUCGUCUUAAGUGUUUAUAGCCUCUUGCCUAUGCAGUCGGAGAGAUUGAGGUCUGCAGCGUAGAUCCUUCGGGGCUAAAUGCAUUUGUGCUAAGUUAUAGCAUUUUAUAGACAACUUGUUGACUAUGAUUUGUCUUGUAGCUUACUCGCUUAUGUUAUUUUACCUACGCUUAGGAUGUUGACACACGCGCGUGCUC